GACUUUUGUGAAUCCUCCAGGGUGUGGCUAUUGAUCCGUCGCCAUACUAAGAACGGUCCACUGAGAUGCCCCUUUAGUUUCAAUCGGACCGCUCUUAUGGAAGAAAACAAUAACUGCUGUGCUGCCUGACGAUGCCCGUGCUGAAGCUACAAUGAUUGCAGACAACCUUUCGAACACACAAUAUGGCAUACAGUAUGGACCUCAACAAAAUAUAAUACGACCAAUGUCUACGCGGAUGAUACGAAGACUGCUUCUGAUCACAGUAGCCAAUAUAGAUUAUCGAUCAAGAAAUAUGAUUCAAUACGUUGCCGAAUUCAUGUCUCGGCCCGGUCUGGAUCCUGAACAAAAAGAGAUUUUGAAAGAAGAAAAUAAAAUUUUGUUAUUUAAAUAAAAAUAAAAACGUCAAGGAUCAAUUUGAUCCCGCUCGAGUAGUUGUUACAAUGCUGCCUAUGUACAUGUAUUGAUAGGCUGUAUGUAAAGUUCAAUUAGUUAGGGGUGUAAGUGGCUCAUCCUGGACCUCUUGAGCCAAAGUCAACCUCUCCUGCCCGCGGCGCACCCUGCCGAAUAGCGAACGAGGCUCUGGCGGAGACGCGGCGGACUCAGCUCCGCGUGUCACUCGUGCUCCAACAAUAACAACAAGCCGAGUGCACCAUCGCGUCUCUAGUUUAUUAUUUAUUUUUGAUGGAUCGGUUAGGUCUGUCCAGGUCAUGCGAGCGAUGAAUAAUACUUCAAUGAUGUAUUACAUUUGAUGUCUAUGUCUAUUAAUCUCAUAUUCUUAUUAAUAAUAGAGCAACUUUAGUCAAGUAAUUCUCGUAAUUAAGCAUUUCAAUUAACAAGUAAUAAGUAGUUCGAGACGGCUUUUAAUGUGGAAUUAAGCAUUAUAACAUCAUAAUCUAUAGUUAUAAGACAUUUUUAAACAAUCACACGCACAUUUUGUUAUAUUAGAAUUACAUAAUAUAUUUAAUCAAACUAAUAUUAUAUUCCAUUCAUAUUUACUAAUUAUCGUAUCUCAUUGUGGGUUUUACUAGUAGAAUGAUUAAACUGAGGUGUCGCAACCA